CACGUAGGCGGACUCUUAAGUUGGUGGUGAAAUCCUGGAGCUCAACUCCAGAACUGCCUUCGAUACUGAGAGUCUCGAGUCCGGGAGAGGUGAGUGGAACUGCGAGUGUAGAGGUGAAAUUCGUAGAUAUUCGCAAGAACACCAGUGGCGAAGGCGGCUCACUGGCCCGGUACUGACGCUGAGGUGCGAAAGCGUGGGAGCAAACA
rnacentral:rRNA from 1 species